rnacentral:rRNA from 1 species
GACAGAGGGGGCAAGCGUUGUUCGGAUUUACUGGGCGUAAAGGGCGCGUAGGCGGCGUGUUAAGUCAGCUGUGAAAUCUCCGAGCUUAACUCGGAACGGUCAGCUGAUACUGAUGUGCUAGAGUGCAGAAGGGGCAAUCGGAAUUCUUGGUGUAGCGGUGAAAUGCGUAGAUAUCAAGAGGAACACCUGAGGUGAAGACGGGUUGCUGGGCUGACACUGACGCUGAUGCGCGAAAGCCAGGGGAGCAAACGGG